AUAUUGUAUGAAGGAAGAAAAGGUUAGCUUGAUGAGGAUGGAAGAUGCCUUAGUGGCCUGCACAACACACAUAAGAAUAAAGUACCAUCACCUACUUCAUGCCAUCUAACUAUGUUU
rnacentral:ncRNA from 1 species